rnacentral:lncRNA from 1 species
ACUUUUUUAUAGUCAAAUCCUCGAGGGAGGGAAGUUUUUGGAAGAAUUUUUCCGGCAAAUGCCUUAGAUUUUCACAUCCAACAAUGUAUAAACUCUUCAAGGCUGGAAAACAUUGUUGUUGUAACAUGAAUCCAUCUAGAGAUGUGAGGUUUGGGCACUCACAAAUGCUUAGUUUAAAAAGUGCAGGAUGCGAUGAUGAUGAGCACGAUGCUCGUCCUUGGCUGCUACUGCAAUCUUGUUGCAUCAUCGGAAGAGAAGUCAAUCCGGCCUCCACAAUAACCAGCCGACUUAGAGUAAGAGGCAAAGCAGGCAAACCCUUUAAGCUAGGACAAGAAUCUAUUUCCAAUUCAUUAAGCAGAGGGAACAUGUGCUCGCCUUCGAACAACUCCAAGUCCGGCAUCCUCUUCAAGUAUAGCUUCUCUAGUGAUGGAAAGGCGCAACCACCAACACUUCUUGGACAACAUAAUUUCUUUACAGCCUGCAUGCUUUUUAAACGAAGAAACUUAAGCAAAGGAAGUUGCCCAAAAGGUAGGAGGUUCUCCCAUCUCUCACAGUUGGAUAGUGUGAUAGACCUUAUAUUAGAAAGAGAAGAUUUCUCCAUCAUCCAACAUGGAGAUCUAACUCCGGCAUAUCCUUCAAUUUCUAGUUCCUUGAGAUUGGUAUGUGGUCUUAAAUUAUCAAGAAGUGGCUCAUCUACCUCUAGACCACCAGAGCGAUUCGUAGACCAACGGAGUGACAAUUCAUCAAGAUUUUUUUUCUCAAUCAAGUUGGCAUUUGCAGCCUCUUCGGGACUCGUUACAUUUUCCAGACUCGUAAUGCCUAAUUUUCGGAGGCUUUGCAGGUUUUUUAAUUGAUCUAUCUUAUGGCCGCGCUCCUCACGGACACAGAAAUUGCCUAACUCCUGAAGUGAUAUUAAUUUGCCAAUCCAAGGAAUCUUGUCCAUUUUAGCAUAAUAAAGAAGCCUCAAUUGAACUAGAUUGCUCAUUCCAUCCAAUGUCGAAUCAUCUAUUGUCAGUGCCGGAAGCCGCAUUACUUCUAGGUGAUAGAGUCUACACGCAGAUUGAGGUAGAAUAGAUAUCUCAUUUUCUCUGUCACUCCAUGAAGAGAGGGAGAGGUAGCGGAGGUGAAUGAGUUUACCAACUUCAUCUGGAAACUUAUAGUCAGCUGCAGUCACUUCUAGAAAGCGUAAGCUUUUUAAAUCUUUUAGAACCUUAUUAAAAUCUACUACAGAGAAACUGUCGGCUAAAUGAAUAAUAAGGGUGCGUAAGUUCUUGAGAUGGGAGAUCAUAAGAGGGUUUACCUUGUUGACAGGUUCCCUGGUGACAUAUAAGUGGCGGAUUGUUUCGGGAAUAUCUCUAGAACCAUCAUCUUCAAUUCCCAAACAUUCCCCUGAAGAGACAAGCUGAGCUAGAUCAUGCAACAGAUCAUGCAUGACAUAAAAUCCCGGGCUUAGAUGGAUAUCAAAAAGGGAUUUCCUUGCCAGAUGGUUUAAAUACUCCUCUCCCAUAUCCUCUAAACUUCGCUUUUCAUGCAUUGGUUGCUUGAUUAACCCAGAACCUAUCCACAUACGGACAAGCUCAUUCUUUCCAAACAGAUGAUCCUUAGGAAAUAUACUGCAGUAUCUAAAGCAAAUUUGCAAGCUUGCAUGCCUGCAGGUCGACUCUAGAGGAUCCCCGGGUACCGAGCUCGAAUUCGCCCUAUAGUGAGUCGUAUUACAAUUCACUGGCCGUCGUUUUACAACGUCGUGACUGGGAAAACCCUGGCGUUACCCAACUUAAUCGCCUUGCAGCACAUCCCCCUUUCGCCAGCUGGCGUAAUAGCGAAGANCAAUAACCUCCACCGAAGGAAUAUUGGCGAAUUUUCCAGAGCCUUCAAUGUACUCCUUCAAUUCGGGGCGACAGCCGCUAAUUUUUAGAUUUUUCAUUGAGGCGGGCAGUUCUGGAAUCGAUCGCAGCAAACGAGCAUCAUGUAUCUCCAAAUAACACAGGGAUUGAAGAUCUAUCAUACUGCGCGGUAAGGAUUCAAGAGACGAGGCCUUAUGAAUAUCUAAGCGUUGAAGGGAGUUUCGGUUUUGCAACAGCCAUUGCUCGUCGAGGGAUGUGAGUUCGGUACCAUCAAUUAUUCUUAACUCGCUAACAGAGUUGUUGAGGUUUCUCAAUGGUUCGACGCGCAACAGAGCUGGCCGGUCGAUAUUAAGACUAAGAAGCUCCGUACCUGUGGGGCUGGUAUUAGUGAGGCCUAAUGGUGGUUGCAACAGUGAAAGUUCGACGAGCUUGUCGCAUCCUUCAAUCCGCAAGAAUUGGAGCGGGAGGAGAGCUUGUAGCCCAUCCAAUGACGACAGCUCUUUACAGUUCCAGAUGCUGAGUUCCGACAACCUUGGAAAAACUUCCGCCGUAGGAAGGGACGUCAUGCUUGCACAUCCACUAAUAUCCAAGGAGUGUAGAUUGUUCGAUUUUGGCAAUGACUCCAGUAGCGGCAAAUCGAAAUCGUCGUUUGAUACAAGGGCGAGUUGUCGAAGUGUCUCGGGCAAUCGAUCGUCUAGAAUCCCGUGUGUCGUGAGAUUGGGACACAUUAUUAUAGCCAAAUCCUUGAGGGAGGGAAGUUUUUGGAAGAAUUUUUCCGGCAAAUGCCUUAGAUUUUCACAUCCAACAAUGUAUAAACUCUUCAAGGCUGGAAAACAUUGUUGUUGUAACAUGAAUCCAUCUAGAGAUGUGAGGUUUGGGCACUCACAAAUGCUUAGUUUAAAAAGUGCAGGAUGCGAUGAUGAUGAGCACGAUGCUCGUCCUUGGCCGCUACUGCAAUCUUGUUGCAUCAUCGGAAGAGAAGUCAAUCCGGCCUUCCAAAUAACCAGUCGACUU